rnacentral:rRNA from 1 species
AUUGAACGCUGGCGGCAGGCCUAACACAUGCAAGUCGAGCGGAGCGGCGGACGGGUGGGUAAUGCCUAGGAAUCUGACUGGUAUUGGGGGCUAACGUCAGGAAACGGGCGCUAAUACCGCAUACUAUCAGAUGAGCCUAGGUCGGAUUAGCUAGUUGGUGGGGUAAAGGCCUACCAAGGCGACGAUCCGUAACUGGUCUGAGAGGAUGAUCAGUCACACUGGAACUGAGACACGGUCCAGACUCCUACGGGAGGCAGCAGUGGGGAAUAUUGCACAAUGGGCGAAAGCCUGAUCCAGCCAUGCCGCGUGUGUGAAGAAGGUCUUCGGAUUGUAAAGCACUUUAAGUUGGGAGGCGGUACCAACAGAAUAAGCACCGGCUAACUUCGUGCCAGCAGCCGCGGUAAUAC